CGGUUGUUAGAUACAAACCUCUGGUGUACGCAGAGACUUACGUUUAUCCGUGGUGGGGGGAGCUCUUAGGCUGGGGGAUAGCUCUGGCUUCGAUGGUAUGGAUUCCGUCCUAUGCUGUUUAUUUCUUGUUAGUCACACCAGGUUCUCUGAAGGACCGACUGAUUGCUGGCAUAACUCCGAAACUUCAACCUUCUCAGAAAUUAACAAAGAUACUUGGUCAAGAUUUCAAGCUUCCCGAAAGUAAACACACCAAACUGCCAGACUCGGGAGAUUAUAAGUCGACAACUCAAGAAAUACUUUAUAUUUAAUCGUUAAAAAGUCUACGUGAUCAUAUUUCUAACACUAGCGCCUUCUUUGGACACAGAAGGAUAUAACCAGAACAACAUGUCAUCAGGUUCCUUGUUCGAUUCAUCAGAAUAUAUUUUACCAAACAUCUCUUGAUCAAGAGGGCGUAAAAGUAUAAAUACAUAGAAAAUUAUAUUUUUCAACAGCCAAUACCAAGUUACUUUAAGAAAACUGAUAACAAUUUUUGGUGAAAGCAAAAAAAAAAGUUCUAACAAACCGAUGUUAUUAAACCCUUAGAAACUGACCAAAAUUAUCGUUGUUGUUCGUAUAAUAUGAGUGAUAGUGAAUUAAGAAAGUAACAGUUACAGAUAUGUAUUAUAGAUGAGACCAGACUUUAAUACUUU